rnacentral:piRNA from 1 species
CACCUUUAUGUCAGUCGUGAUAUAACUGCCU